rnacentral:rRNA from 1 species
CAGUCGCCACGGUAAUACGGAGGGUGCAAGCGUUAUCCGGAUUCACUGGGUUUAAAGGGUGCGUAGGCGGGCAGGUAAGUCAGUGGUGAAAUCUUCGAGCUUAACUCGGAAACUGCCGUUGAUACUAUCUGUCUUGAAUAACGUUGAGGUGAGCGGAAUAUGUCAUGUAGCGGUGAAAUGCUUAGAUAUGACAUAGAACACCGAUUGCGAAGGCAGCUCACUAAACGCUCAUUGACGCUGAGGCACGAAAGCGUGGGGAUCAAACAGGAUUAGAUACCCGUGUAGUCCCUGUCUCUUAUAC